rnacentral:rRNA from 1 species
AUUGAACGCUGGCGGCAUGCCUUACACAUGCAAGUCGAACGGUAACAGGUCUUCGGGUGCUGACGAGUGGCGAACGGGUGAGUAAUACAUCGGAACGUGCCCGAGAGUGGGGGAUAACGAGGCGAAAGCUUUGCUAAUACCGCAUACGAUCUCAGGAUGAAAGCAGGGGACCGCAAGGCCUUGCGCUCACGGAGCGGCCGAUGGCAGAUUAGGUAGUUGGUGGGAUAAAAGCUUACCAAGCCGACGAUCUGUAGCUGGUCUGAGAGGACGACCAGCCACACUGGGACUGAGACACGGCCCAGACUCCUACGGGAGGCAGCAGUGGGGAAUUUUGGACAAUGGGCGCAAGCCUGAUCCAGCCAUGCCGCGUGCAGGAUGAAGGCCUUCGGGUUGUAAACUGCUUUUGUACGGAACGAAAAGACUCCUUCUAAUAAAGGGGGUUCAUGACGGUACCGUAAGAAUAAGCACCGGCUAACUACGUGCCAGCAGCCGCCGUAAGAC